rnacentral:rRNA from 1 species
AUUGAACGCUGGCGGCAGGCUUAACACAUGCAAGUCGAGCGGGGUGAUGGUGCUUGCACUAUCACUUAGCGGCGGACGGGUGAGUAAUGCUUAGGAAUCUGCCUAUUAGUGGGGGACAACAUCUCGAAAGGGAUGCUAAUACCGCAUACGUCCUACGGGAGAAAGCAGGGGAUCACUUGUGACCUUGCGCUAAUAGAUGAGCCUAAGUCGGAUUAGCUAGUUGGUGGGGUAAAGGCCUACCAAGGCGACGAUCUGUAGCGGGUCUGAGAGGAUGAUCCGCCACACUGGGACUGCGACACGGCCCAGACUCCUACGGGAGGCAGCAGUGGGGAAUAUUGGACAAUGGGGGGAACACUGAUCCAGCCAUGCCGCGUGUGUGAAGAAGGCCUUAUGGUUGUAAAGCACUUUAAGCGAGGAGGAGGCUCUUUUGGUUAAUACCCAAGAUGAGUGGACGUUACUCGCAGAAUAAGCACCGGCUAACUCUGUGCCAGCCGCCGCAGUAA